rnacentral:lncRNA from 1 species
UUUAACCUGUUCUGGCAUCAUUAUGUCAUCUUCUCUACCCUUAUGGGCAGACAGAAAGACAGAAAAUCAGACAGACAAACACACACACAGACAUAUAUGCACAUAUGUAUAUAUUUACACACGUAUAUAAUCAUACAUAUACAUAAAUGAAUAUAUAUAUAUAUAUAUAUAUAUAUAUAUAUAUAUAUAUAUAUAUAUAUAUAUAUAUAUAUAUAUAUAUAUAUAUAUAUAUAUAUAUAUUAUAUAUAUAUAUAUAUAUUUAAGCAGAAAAUUCAACAAAACCUGUUACUCUGAGUUUCCCGUUGCCGUUCAUCGGACAGUUUUUGCUAGCAAAACUCAGAUUAACAGGUUUUGUUGAAUUUUCUGCUGCUUUAAAUAAAGCAUAUUACUCUACCACUGGUAUUUGAGUACUCUCUUUUCCACCUUGUUUCACAUUUAUGUGUUUACUCCGGUAUUUAUAUAUAUAUAUAUAUAUAUAUAUACAAUCGCACACACACACGCCUGUUGUUCAUACACCUAUCUUCGUCUUUUAUUUUUCUAUAAAUUUCAACUAUACAAACAUAUGUAUACAUACAUAAACACACACACACACAUAUGUAUACGUUCCAAGCGCAUAUUACUAAUUUGGUGAUAUAUAUUUAUAUAUGUAUACACACACAUAUUUAUACAUACAUAUAUCCAUAUAUACAUAUAUAUCUAUCUAUUUAUGUAUGCCUAUCUAUAUCUAUAUAUUUUUCUAUGUAACUCUCUCUCUAUCACUAUACACACACACACACACACACACAUAUAUAUAUAUAUAUAUAUAUAUAUAUAUAUAUAUAUAUAUAUAUAUAUAUAUAUAUAUAUAUAUAUAUAUAUAUAUAUAUAUAUAUAUAUAUAUAUAUAUAUAUAUAUAUAUAUAUAUAUAUAUAUAUAUAUAUAUAUAUAUAUAUAUAUAUAUAUAUAUAUAUAUAUAUAUAUAUAUAUAUAUAUAUAUAUAUAUAUAUAUAAUAUAUUAGGGAAUAAAUCCAAAUAUUACAGGGAAAAAAUCAGAUAUAUAUUAUAUAAUAUAUAUAAAAUAUUAUAAAAUAUUAUUAGAGUAAAACCAUAUUUGCAAAACAAAAAGACUUAUAAUAUAUAAAAUUUUAAUAAAUAGUCCUAUUUAUUAAAAUUUUAUGUAUUGAUUAAGUCUUUCCUUGUUUGUUUUGCAAAAUAGUAAUAAUAUUUUAUAUAUAUAUAUAUAUAUAUAUAUAUAUAUAUAUAUAUAUAUAUAUAUACACAUGUAUAUAUAUAUAUACAUGCAUAUAAUAUGUGUUUGUCUGUGUGUGUAUAAUUAAACAAACAGGGUGUGCGUUGCUUUACAUCGAUGUAUCAAGGUUUGAACUGACAGAAGAAAACAGGGAGAAAAAAUUAGACGAAAGCAGAUCAAACAGGAAACUAGACGAAAAGUUAACGGACGGGAAAUAUAGACAAAGACACGAUAUACGGAAUAUUCGCAGUCCGUUUUCCUCGUCAGUCAAUUACCCAAAAUCUCAUAUUUCGCAGAUGGUCUGGUAUGCAUCGUCAGUGAUCAUUCUGGAGUUUCAGAUGUCUACAGAGCUUCCAGUAUGUGACUUACUGACACACUUACUUCACUCAUGGUUGCUCAAGUCCUUGUAUUUCAAAAGCAACAGACUACAAGUAUCUCCCUAAAUCUAAAGCCGCCUAUUGGGUUUCUCUGCAGCUUCAGUAAUAGAAUUUAUAACCUUCCUCUUUGUUGCGCCAGUAAAUACAAGCCUAGCCUAACCUUUGCAAGCAGAGCUGGCAGAAUCGUUAGCACGUUGGGCGAAAUGCUUAGCGGUAUUUCGUCAGCCGCUGAGUUCAAAUUCCGCCGAGGUUGACUUUGCCUUUCAUCCUUUUCGGGGUCGAUUGAAUAAGUACCAGUUACGCACUGGGGUUGACGUAAUCGACUUAAUCCGUUUGUCGACCCUCGUUUGUCCCUUCUAUGUUUAAUCCCCUGUGGGCAAUAAAGAAAUAAAUAUGUGUGUGUGUUUCUGUGUAUGUGUGUGUAUAAAUAUAUAUAUAUAUAUAUAUAUAUAUAUAUAUAUAGAGAGAGAGAGAUAGAUAGAUAGAUAUACAUACAGAUAUACAUAUAUAUAUAUAUGUAUGAGUGUAUAUACAUGUAUGUAUAUACAUGUAUGUAUGAGUGUAUAUACAUACAUACAUAAGUAUAUAUAUAUAUAUAUAUAUAUAUAUAUACUUAUGUAUGUAUGUAUAUACACUCAUGCAUACACACAGAUAUUACAUAUAUUGAUAUAUGAUAGAAAUGCAUAUCGUCUAUAGAGGUUUCCGGUGUUUACUCACAUCACUUCCGGCUUUAUAAGUUGUGGAGAACUUUUUUAUGAAACUAGCAUAUAAUAACAUAGAGACAUAUAAUCGGACAUAGGUACACAUAUACAUCCAACAUACAUCCUGAUAAAUUUAUUUAAAUAUAGCGAGGAAGAUAUUCGUAUAUAUACACAAUGAUUCUUAUCCAUACAUAGAAUAUACAUACAUACAUACAUACAUACAUACAUAGAAACACAGAAUCACAGAAUCACACAUACACACACACACACACACACACACACACACGCACAGAGAGAGAAGUAUAUAUAGAUACUUAAACAUACAGAAAUAGGACAUAGCACUAAAACAAAUCAGUUGGAAAUGUAAUAUUGACAAGUUAUCUGUAAGUGUAUACACCAUCAUUCUUUCAACUACAAUAAACUGAAAGAAGAAAGUAAACAGCAUUGCUUGAAAUAGCAAGCUAGGGCUAUACAGAGACAUUGGCAGUGGUGUGUUGUUGGUGUUUUGCGUGCAUGUGUAGGCGCGUGCAUGUAUGAGUGUAUAAGGGUGCUUAUGACAGAGAUAGAGUAUGCGAACAUAAUGAGUGAGGAGAGAGACAGACAGAGAAAGCGAAAGAGAGAGAGAGAGAGAGAGAGAGAGAGAGAGAGAGAGAGAGAGAGAGAGAGAGGGAGUAAUCAGUGAGAGUGAUUAUCUACUUCUCUAUAAUAUCAGUGCGGAUGAUAUUUUGACACGAUGCAAGUAAGAUAGUGCAGCACAAAGGCUUGAGCAAAAUAUCUUCAUAUACGCUCAUUCAUACAUUUCAAUGCGUGUGCUGCGUAGGUAUGUAUGCAUGUAUGUAGUGUAUAUAUAUAAAUAUAUAUAUAUAUAUAUAUUUGCAUGUGUGUGUAUAUAUAUAUGUAUAUAUAUAUAUUUGCAUGUGUGUGUAUAUAUAUAUGUAUAUAUAUAUAUAUAUAUAUAUAUAUAUAUAUAUAUAUAUAUAUAUAUAUAUAUAGAUAGAUAGAUAGAUAGAUAAAAUCAAAAUAAGCAACAUAUAUUGAUAUUCUGUUGCUUACUUUGAUUAUUUAUAUAUAUAUAUAUAUAUAUAUAUAUAUAUAUACAUUCUCUUAUUCUCAUCGGUUUCAGCUCAAAGCUACAACCAUGCUGAGACACCGCAGUUUUCUUUUAUAGUACGGGAGCUGAGUUUCCGUCCAGUCCACUUCCUCUAUGGCUAGUGUUAUAUCUUCUUCCCCAAUGUCGAUAUAAUCUAUGGUAACUUCCUCCCUGGUUAUAGGUAAGGCGGUAAACAAUUCCAUUGGUUUGUUCACUUAUCUGUGUUACAACGAGGCACUACUACUCUGAUUCUGAUUGGGUUAUUUGUGAGGGAGCCGUCCUUUUGGAAAAGGGGACCUAUUUUGCUACGUACUGAGGCCGUUUCUUUGGCAUAAUAAAUGGAAGCCUUUUUUAUAACCCAGGUUUCUUUAUCUACUGUCUCCUUCACAUAGGGUUGUUGCAGGCUUUUUUCAAUCUCCAUCAGUGUUGUUUUUCACUACCUCUGUGAUGUUGGUUGAAGCGAUUAGUAACCUACAUUCGUCGUCUCAUGAGGAUCUGAAUCUUUUCAGGAAUCUAGUUCCUAUUUCUGCUGGCCUUGUGCUCUGGGACAUACUUGUAGGAUAUGGCUUGCGUAACGGACAUGCUGAUGUCUGAUGUCGAGAGACAUUUCAGCCAGUUCGGUCUGAGGAUCUGUUUUUGGAUUGAUUUUCAGUCCGCUUUGUGGAAGUUCAGACUAGAGGGAUUUCGGCUGCUUCAUUUAGGCUAUAUAUAUAUAUAUAUAUAUAUAUAUAUAUAUAUAUAUAUAUAUAUAUAUAUAUAUAUAUAUAUAUAUAUAUAUGUAUAUAUAUAAAGGGAAAGUUUACGAAAAUAAAGAAAAGACGAAGCCAGGUGGUGUACAAACAAAAAGAUGUAUUAGUAAAGCGCUCAGGAAUAGAGAAAGCCUUUUACGUUUAGAGCCUACGCUCUUCUACAGAAAGAUACACAGAAAAACCAGGGAGAGAACAAAAUGUGUGUAGUAGCUAACGAUUUAUCAGGGCGUCUGACUUCGGACAGAAUGGUCAGACGGAAGAGAGGAAGUAGGGGAGAUAACAAGGUCAAGAUGACAUCUAAUACGAAGGAGCCCCCAACACAAAGGUGCGUGUGUGUAAAAAUGUGUGUAGUAGCUAACGAUCUACCAUGGCGUCUGAUAUAUAUAUAUAUGUAUAUACAUAUAUAGAUAGAUAGAUAGAUAGAUAGAUAGAUAGAUAGAUAGAUAAAACUUACUUGGAAAUAGAUGCGUGGUGUUCGGUCAAAUAAUAAUAUAAAUAAUAUAUAUAUAUAUAACAAACGGUGAGGCCUAUUAAGCCAUGGCGUGGUGAAGUGGUGAACGCUGGAAAAACGAGCUUUGAGAAGAGACAGGCAAAAGUACAUCUUGUCUUUUGGAAGGAAGUGGAAGAAAGAAAGAUAGAUAGCCGUUGGUCACGUGCGAUCAACAAGAGAGUCAAGGAGGAAGAAUGAAAGAGAUAGGUUGUAGAGUGCACAACGGCUAUCUAUAAAACAGGGACAACUGAUGAAGGGAAUGUUCUUUAUGUUUUUUAUGUCCUCGUUUCUCACUUUGCUCAUAUUUCUUUUGACGUCCUAUAUAUGCAUGUAUAUAUACAUAUAUGUGUAGGCCUGUACAUGUA